rnacentral:rRNA from 1 species
UUGGUGAACCAGCGGAGGGAUCAUUACCGAGUUAUACAACUCAUCAACCCUGUGAACAUACCUAUAACGUUGCCUCGGCGGGAACAGACGGCCCCGUAACACGGGCCGCCCCCGCCAGAGGACCCCCUAACUCUGUUUCUAUAAUGUUUCUUCUGAGUAAACAAGCAAAUAAAUUAAAACUUUCAACAACGGAUCUCUUGGCUCUGGCAUCGAUGAAGAACGCAGCGAAAUGCGAUAAGUAAUGUGAAUUGCAGAAUUCAGUGAAUCAUCGAAUCUUUGAACGCACAUUGCGCCCGCCAGUAUUCUGGCGGGCAUGCCUGUUCGAGCGUCAUUACAACCCUCAGGCCCCCGGGCCUGGCGUUGGGGAUCGGCGGAAGCCCCCUGCGGGCACAACGCCGUCCCCCAAAUACAGUGGCGGUCCCGCCGCAGCUUCCAUUGCGUAGUAGCUAACACCUCGCAACUGGAGAGCGGCGCGGCCACGCCGUAAAACACCCAACUUCUGAAUGUUGACCUCGAAUCAGGUAGGAAUACCCGCUGAACUUAAGCAUAUCAAAACGGGGAGGGAAA